ACGGUCACAUCACGUUGAAACACCCGUUCCCGUACGAUCACCGAAGUUAAGCAAUGUCGAGCAUGGUCAGUACCUAGAUGAGUAACCACUUGGGGAUACCAGGUACUGUG